AAAUGGGGCCAUCAGGGCUGGUGCUUAAGUGAUUCAAUGAAUUAAACCUGUGACCCUCACUGUCUCACUGACUACUCAUCUGAGCAACUAUCUGAGCAGGCUCAACUAAGGCCUGCCUGAGAGUGGGCAGUGUCUAAAUGAAGUCUACUGAGUAACUUGGAAGUCACGCCUGAUGAGAAGGUUACUCGAAUUCAAUGAGACACAGUGUGUGUUCAGUCAUGAGUGAAUAUUAUAUUAUAGAUGAAUGUAAACAGAAGAGCUAGUAACUGAAGCAGGGGGAUAGCUGGCUCUAAGUAACAGCAUGGGCGGUUUCCUGGGCACCUGAAACAAUUGAGAUGUAUCAAAAAGCCAAGAGCAGAAAAUCAUGUUACAUCUGAGACAAACAAUAUUUUGGACCUUUAAAAAUAACCAUUUUAGUAUUACAGCAGCAGAAUUAGAACCAAGGGGGAGAAGAUAAGGGAGUUGAUGAAAAUUUGAAGGAGAGUUACCAUCCAAGCUAAGUAUAAAGAUGCCACCUUUUCCAGGGGAAAAGAAACAAGGCAGUGAUGUGGGCCCUGUAUAUUAAACAGACACAGUAAAAGUUGAACUUCUGAGGUAUAAAUCUGAGAAGUUUUAAAACAAUAGAUUUCAGAAUGAAAAAUUAUUACUCUUGUAAUUUCAUUGAGAGCCAAUAUCUUAAGAAAAGCUUAUUUUUUAAACCAAAAUUUUAGUUUGCUAUUAGUGUAUUUUUAUAUUAUAGUUAAUUUUAAUAAGGCCUUAUAAACAAAUCAGUCUAACCCCAGUUUUGACUGCAAAGUAAGAUUUUCAUAAACUUUUUAUAACCUCUAAUUUUUUUAUAUUUUCUUUUCAUAUCCACUUGAUUGUAUUUACCUUUUGAAAAUGUCUUUAAUCUAAAACAAUCCCUCAACACCUCUUAACUAAGCUAUGUUUCCCAUCAGAAAAUCUCAGUUUAUUUUCUAAAAAUCUCCAGAUUUAAGCUGUUCCAGUAUUUGAUUUCAGAUUUUCACAUCUCUAUUCAGAAGACUUUGGCCUGUAAUCUGCCUUUCAUGGAAUGUCUCAUUCUGUAUUUAGUAUCAAGACCUCCUGAUACAAUGAAGGCAGUGUUGUGUUUUUUCUGGAUCUAUUCUAUGAAAGGGUAUGUACAAAAUUGGCCUGGGAAACAGUACAUUUUUCUAAACAGAGAAAAAUAUUUAAGGCAAAAAGCUUGAUGGCAGAAUCAAAAAUGCAAAUUGAGUCAUAAAACUAAAACAAAUUUAUAAAUCUGUAGAAAAACUGGAGUUUGGGAAUUAAAAAAAAAAAUCAGGGUGACAUUUUAAGUAUACAUCUCAUCUGAAGAAACUGCAGUGAGAAGAUGGAAAUGAACAUACCUUCAGCACAUCAGCAAAGGCUGCCUCCCAUCUUUACCAGGAGUCUCCUAGCUGGCAGUUCAAACACAGUGGCAGUUGGGAUAGAAGUCAGAAUAUACAUCAUUACACGACCUCAGCGACAGGUCACCACACAAUGCUCAAAUGAACACAGGAACACGUGCCAUACUCUGGGGUCCAACUGCAGCUAUCUAGACCACAGGACUUUCACAAGGACAAGGGGUUCACUCAGAGUCCAUGCUUCAUUUCAAAAUCUGAAUCCCAGAGCCACAGUAUUAUUCUCUGUGUAUGAAAUCAAUGUUAAAUGAGGAAAAAAAAAUCUGCCUUCCAAAUAUAUUUGAGAGUGAAAAUUUCAGGGUGAAGAGGGUCGAAACUAACACGUUCAGAAUAAAAUGAGGUUCCAUCCUUUAUUUGAAAUACAAUUCCCACCCAUUUUUACUAUUCCUGAGUCAUCAGAAAUUUGUAUAUUCAGGAAUUUUAAAUUUGUUCCAGACUAAAGUUUAAAAUGCCUUAGUAUAAAUCCAGUUUUUAAGUCUACCUCUAAGAAUAUAACUCAUAGUCAUUGUUUAAAAUCUUCUUUUAUCGGCUCUCUAUAUUAUUUACUGUUUUUCUCUGUAUGCAACUAAGCUUGCAUACUUACUAAUUUCUGAAUGUCUUUGAGUUCACUGAGAGACUUCUCUGAAUGUAUACAUGAAAGGCUGGCUAUUCACCCAGAGAUGAAUAAAAAAGAAGAAGCAUUAUAUGUUCACCAAUGUGUUGUUUGAAAAUAUAUAAAGAAUGAUUUUCUAAAUGGAGAUGUCUGAUAACCUCAAACUCCAGGAUUAAAUGUCUUCUGGCUCAUCAAUCAACACCCAAGUCACACCCAUUCUUAUUAUCUGGUCCUGAGAAUUAGCACUUGGAAGUCAACUGACAAGCCUCGCAAAACAUGGAACAACUGAAAAUUAAGAGAAUAAAAGGAUAGGAAUUCAUGCAAGACAGAGAAAAGAUAGCUUCUUGCUACUUGCUGAUGUCUAGGGACUGCAGAGAAGGCUCACUGGCUGGGGCUGAAUCCAUAGCAAGAGGCUGGCAUCAUUUGGAGGUGACAUCACUCACAGGGCUGCCAAGGUCACUGGGCUUGGCUGGAGGACCCACAGGAAUCUCCCUGGUGUCCUGGGCUUCCAAGCAGCCAGGCAGUCUCAGGAUAUUCAGAGCCCUGACUUGGUGGCCAAGGGCUCCACGGGUGAGCGACUGGAGUGAACCAGGCAGAGGCUCAUGGCCUUUUCUAAGGAGCUUGCUGCUGGGCCCACCACCAGCCCCUGCUGUGCGGCCAGGACAAGGGCAGAAGAGUCAGUGGGCAGGAGUAUGUGCAGACGCAGCCCCGAGUACCCCCAGCCCCUUGUCCUCUGUACUCCAAGCCUCCCUUGCAGUGAGAAGGGCCAUGUGACAGGAUCUCAUGGAACACAAGUGACAGCGGCCCCUCCCAGGCCUCAAAGCUCCUCAAGCCUCAGGCUCCUCGAGGCUCUGUGCCCUCCUGCGCACACAGCCAGGUACAUGGGCUGGAGGUGCUGCUGCCAAUCCCAGAGCCUGGGGGACAUGCCAGGCUGUGCCACAAGCAGGACACGAGUGGAUGGCAUUAAGCUCCUGAGACUGGGGGCAUUCCUGUCACCAAGUACAGUCUCACUUGCCUUCGCAGGAACACAACGGUGAGAAUUUUCCAGAGUCACAGAGACACAGGAGGGAAAUGGAAGUGACUUGGAUGGCCCUUGUCCUGCCUCCCCUGCCUCCUGCCCAGGGCCACACCAGCCCUCAGGUGCUUCUCUGGAAAUCUGGGCUUCUACAAGAUACAGAUGUCAGCAGUCCAGGGCAUGGAAGAGCCCAGGGCCAGGACUGGAAGCACCACUGCCAGCACUCGAAUCUGGGAGGCAGCUCCAAUGCCCUGGUACCUGGGCCUGCAGGGCCACAGACAUCUCCCCUCAGCUGCCCCAGCUCCUCUGGUAUCACUGGUGUCAAGGAGGAAACCCUGCACCCACUGGCCCACCAGGUGGGUGUACACCUGUCCAGAUGCCCAGGUGACCUUUCUGUGGUUGUGACUGGGCUGCUGUAAUUUGUGGAGCCGCCCAUGAGGCAAAAGCCAAAAGAAAUGUUUGCUCAGGGCUCACCCAGUCCCUACAGGACCUGGGUGCACCUGAACUGCCGCCGUCAAGGUCCUGCCUGAACUGUCUCCCUGCCCCAUGCUCUCUCGGGGACAGGAGCUAGGCAGAAUGGAACUGCAGGAAUAAGGACACCUCGCUGCCUGCUCUCGCCCAACCCCUACAUUGCCUGGAGUCUCAGAAGGGACAGCUCAGAAACCCACAGGUUUCACAGCCUGCAGGCUCAGGGGCAGAGGGGAGCAAGGUCCCUGAGGCCCCCAGGAUCACACAGCUGUGAGACCAGAGGUCCGUGGAGGUCCAGGGAUCAUCUACUCAGAGACAUCCACAGGCCUGGGCCUGACCCUAGAGCUCUGGGAGGGGAGACCAAGGCUGGGCGAAAAGGCACGAACCCAGGGGCUGCCAAGUGUCCUCAAGUCCGGGUCAGGAGAGGACCCAUCCUCUAAGGUCCCCUGGGAGAAUUGAAGCCUUCCUUAGGGGGCACAGCAUCACCUCCCUCAACCCCAAGCCUGGCUGCCUUUCUGAAGGGGGAGCCAAGUGGGCUCUGGAAGGCCUGGAACCUUCUCACACCUCCCAGCCCCAAAAGGUACAGUUCCUGCAUCACGGCCCCUAGGGGACCCCUGAUCUCAAACUUCCCCGAGUCACACUGACCCGCAGCCUCCUGGGGGCCGAAGACCCCCACCCCAUAGAGCACAGAAGAUGGCCCUGGCAGGCCCAGGGGAAGACAGGCAGGGAGAAAUGUCCCCACUGCUGUGGUCCCCUGCAUCCACCGCCGGGGCGCACUCUCUGUUUGGCAGCCAUUGCCUAGACCCUCGCACCUUGCCACACAUGUGUAGAAGAAAUCAUGACACACGGUCUUGACUGAGGCUUCUCCCUGCCAUGUGACAGCUCCUGAAGUCCCCGCAUCAGUCUUCCCACUGCGUCCCCAGCCCUAGCGCAGCCCGGCAGGAGCUGAGGCUCCCCAAGGAAUGCUCCUGGGCUGCCCACAGCGGCUGUUAAGGAUUCUCUGACGUCACUCACAGGGAAACCAAUGCAGAGAGGAAAGGAAGUGGGGGGCACAGAGAGAGCACACCCGGGGUCAGGGACACAGCACCGGCACCAGAAGUGGCCUCCUUGCACCUGCAGAAGGGGGCUGCCACAAUGGAAAUGCAGCCACUUCCUCAAGAUGGAGGAUGUGAGGGCCUGGGCUGCGCUCCACUCCACCCUUGUUCGCGGCUUUUUCUCCCAGGCUGUGCUAGGGCAUGGGAGGAGGACCCUGUCCUGGACCAAGAAACACAGCAGCACUUCGGCCCCCAAAACGGAGCCCCCGAUCCUCCCCACUGUCCUCAGCACAGCAGCACCCUUGCCCUGACUCCCAGCUCCCGCGCCCUACCCUUUUGCUAAUUUGGGAUUAAAAUCAUUAUAAAA